UCAACCAUCAAGCCCGGCUUGUUAUUGGGCGCCUAUCGCUUCAAAGAGCGAUUGGCCCGAAAGAUAAUGGCGGUGUCAAGAUUAGACCCCAGGUGCAGCGAGCUCUAAGCAUACACUGAGGUGGUCGUUUUGGCCCGGCUUUAACUAUUAAAUUUUUCAA
rnacentral:misc_RNA from 1 species